GGACUUGUAUGAAGUAGAAGAACUGCACAUGAAGAAAUACUGCACUUACAAUCCCACUUUUCCUCAGACAUUGAGACGCCUAUUUUGUUGUUGUUGCUGUUGUUGUUGUUGCUGUUGUUUAAUUAUUAUUAUUAUUAACCUUAUUUUUUGUGGACCCAACCUCAUUUGCUCUGCCCAGCUUAAGAAUGGAAAGAAGGGAGGGAAGGGAUAAAAGAGGGGUUUGUUGUUGCCGUCACUUUUUGGUGGGUGGCCCGCGUCGCUUUCAUGGGAAUUGAAAGGCAGCCUGUUUCUGUCUCAAUCAGCUGUACAUUGUGUCCUGUUUUGGGACAUCACUCAACCCUGCUAGGUGCUUUAAAGUCCUGACGAGAUGCCACUCACUCAUUUACAAUUUCAGACGAAUAGAUAGAAACAUUUCAGAGGAGGGCCUUUUCCAAACGUAUAGAUAUGGUGUGGGGUUUCGGUGGCUGGAGGAGAGAGGGGGAUCUUUAUUCUGCAGAAUGAACAAUUAUUUUUAAAGCAAAACUAUUAGGGAUUUAGGAGCAUGAAUGAAAGUCAAUGUUCCUUUCAAAAUUACUUUUUAGGGUGAGCUGUUUUCCUGGGUUCAGUGUGUAUUGCCCCUCUAGAAUGUAAAUUUAAAGAAAAAAAAAAUAAAAACAAAAUAUAUGUCUUAACACUGUACCACAUUACAGCAGUUUAGUUUCAUAAGUCUGAGGGCCUUUUGUGGUAAGUCUGAGGCUUUGUAUUUUUAUUUUCCUUAACUUAUGAAGCACCUUUUUUAGAAUUGUUGAUUUGCUGUUACUCCAUGCCUAUGUAUUGACUCACAGGCUUCUUAGAGACCCUUGGGAGCCUUACUUAUUUAGUUGCACCCUGUGUUUUAAGAAAUAGCAUUUAGAAAUAACUUUUACACUUGCUUCUAGGACAGUAAGUGGCCUAGGAGUGGGUGAGAGAGUCUGUAGUUUACUCAAGAGGUUCUGCUGCUCUUCUGAAAUAAUUUUGUUUUAAAAUUACGGAUUUUAAAAUGACAGAAGUCCUAAGUAGCAAAGUGUUCUUUAAAUACAGGUAUAUAGAGAUAUAUAAUUAUAUAAAUACUUUCUCAUUCUAUUAUCACAGUGUUAACCUCUUGGCAACAGCCUAAACUAAGACUUGCAGCUGGGAAAAAGCUAGGAGCCAGAUCCUUGGCCAGCAUUAGUCCCCUUAGCCCCACUGAAUUUAAUGAAACUACCCCAACUACUUCAGCUACAUCAGGAGCCAAGCCUUUACCGUUUAGUCUCUCGUUGACAUCUUAUUUGCUAAUCUGCUGAAGUUCCUUUCGGUUUUAAGUCAUCAAUUCUACUUUAAUUUAGGAGUGGAAGUGUUUGCAGGUUUUGAUGCAUAGCCUUUGCUCUUCGAGAGCACAGAAGCCCUGCAAAUGAGCAGAUAGCGUAUCACUUUCCCUAUUUCUUCAGAAAGUGAUACAUGGAGAUGCA
rnacentral:lncRNA from 1 species